rnacentral:rRNA from 1 species
GGAUGAACGCUGGCGGCGUGCCUAAUACAUGCAAGUCGAACGGAGGUAUCUUCGGAUAUCUUAGUGGCGAACGGGUGAGUAAUACAUGAGGAACCUGCCCCCAUGAUCGGGAUAGCUGCUGGAAACGGCAGGUAAUACCGGAUAUGAACAUUUAAGGCAUCUUGAAUGUUUGAAAGGGUCCUGCAAGGGAUCGCGCGGGGAUGGCCUCAUGGCGCAUUAGCUAGUUGGCGGGGUAACGGCCCACCAAGGCGAUGAUGCGUAGCCGAUCUGAGAGGACGACCGGCCACAUUGGGACUGAGACACGGCCCAGACUCCUACGGGAGGCAGCAGUAGGGAAUUUUCGGCAAUGGGGGAAACCCUGACCGAGCAACGCCGCGUGAGUGUUAAGGCCUUCGGGUUGUAAAGCUCUGUUGCCGGGGACGAAUGGUACGGAUAGGAAAUGAUCCGUAAAUGACGGUACCCGGCCAGAAAGCCACGGCUAACUACGUGCCAGCAGCCGCGGUAAUACGUAGGUGGCGAGCGUUAUCCGGAAUUAUUGGGCGUAAAGGGUGCGUAGGCGGCGGAUUAAGUCCGAGUUGAAAGCGUGGAGCUCAACUCCAUUGAGGCUUGGAAACUGGUCUGCUUGAGUACAGGAGAGGUUAGCGGAAUUCCUAGUGUAGCGGUAAAAUGCGUAGAGAUUAGGAGGAACACCAGUGGCGAAGGCGGCUAACUGGCCUGAAACUGACGCUGAGGCACGAAAGCGUGGGGAGCAAAUAGGAUUAGAUACCCUAGUAGUCCACGCCGUAAACGAUGAAUACUAAGUGUUGGGGCAACUCAGUGCUGCAGUUAACGCAAUAAGUAUUCCGCCUGGGGAGUAUGCACGCAAGUGUAAAACUCAAAGGAAUUGACGGGGACCCGCACAAGCGGUGGAUUAUGUGGUUUAAUUCGACGCAACGCGAAGAACCUUACCAAGCCUUGACAUGGAGACCAAGGCCCUAGAGAUAGGGAGAUAUACGGGCUCACACAGGUGGUGCAUGGUUGUCGUCAGCUCGUGUCGUGAGAUGUUGGGUUAAGUCCCGCAACGAGCGCAACCCUUGUCUUCAGUUACCAUCAUUCAGUUGGGGACUCUGGAGAGACUGCCGGUGAUAAACCGGAUGAAGGUGGGGAUGACGUCAAAUCAGCAUGCCCCUUACGGCUUGGGCUACACACGUAAUACAAUGGCGCAUACAAAGAGAAGCGAUACGGUGACGUAAAGCGGACCUCGGAAAGUGCGUCUCAGUUCGGAUUGAAGCCUGCAACUCGACUUCAUGAAGUUGGAAUCGCUAGUAAUCGCGGAUCAGCAUGCCGCGGUGAAUACGUUCUCGGGUCUUGUACACACCGC